rnacentral:misc_RNA from 1 species
CCGAGUUUACAAACUCCCAACCCUAUGUGAACCUUACCUAUCGUUGCUUCGGCGGGCUUAGCCCCCGCGCCUUCGCCGGCGCCGGGAAACAGGCGCCCGCCGGAGACCCGAACUCAAUGUUUUUCAUGCAGUAUUAUCUGAGUGGCAAACGCAAAAAUAAAUCA